UUUAUUUUCAGAGAAAUGAUGACUGUCUCCUUGUAACAAAAUACAUUUGUCACAGUUAUAUCAGUUGAUACAUGGUUAAAUGAACAUGUUUUUUUCUAUUAAAUAUAAUUAACAAACUCAUGUUAAGAAGAAUUGAAUUAUCUUUUUUAUCCACAGUUAACCCUGUCAGUCAAUUAAAUGAAUAAAAAUACAUAUUAUACCAACCACAUUUACACAAUUUUAGUCCAAAGGUUGAAAAUCCUCAAUGCUGCGUUUAAUCUAUUUAUUCCCAUCUCAAUAACAUCAUAAAAUUGUUAAACAGAGCAGUAUUCCUCCUGGUUUCUUGUCCCACGUUGCCUUCAGUCUGUUGAGAGCAGAGGAAUCAUUUCCAUAGAGAGGAGGCUUUGCAUCGUCAGCUGAUCCUCCAGUGAACUCAGAAGGUUUAUAGUCCUGUGAGUUCAACACUGCAGGACUCAGAUCUGUCGGUCAACACAGCAGGAACCACAACCACCAUGACUCUCAUCACCAUCCUCAUCUGGACGCUGGCCUGCUGCUGCAUCAAAGGAUGCAGCGGUCAGGUGACUGUGACUCAGCCUCCAGUAGAGACAUCUACUCCAGGAUCCACUGUCACUCUCACCUGUAAGAUUAGUGAACCUGUUUACACAUAUAGUGAUGGAGAUGAAGCUAUGUUCUGGUAUCAACAGAUAUCUGGACAGCCUCCAAAGCUCCUCAUAAAAUAUGUGAGCACAAAACAUUCAGGAACACCAGCUCGGUUUAGUGGCAGUGGAAGCAGCUCUGACUUCACUUUGACCAUCACUGGAGUUCAGACUGAAGAUGCAGCAGUUUAUUACUGUCAGAGUAUUCAUGAAAUAAACGGAGCUGACGUGUUCACACAGUGAUUUGUAGUCGUACAAAAACCUCCCUCAGUCAGACUGCAGAGACUCUGAGCUGUAACAGCAGGAACCGACUGCAGCUGCUGAAGAGGAAGAGACUCUGACACAGACCACUGAACACAGAGCUGACAGUAAACUCACCAAGCACACUCUAAAUAAUCACACUAAUAAAACAAUUAAAACAUUAUUUAAAAUCUAAUAACACCACUUCA